GAAGUCCGCCAGGCAAUCGCGGCGCCGCAAGGUGCCGAGGAAAGUCCGGGCCCCGCAGAGCGGGAUGCUGGCUAACGGCCAGGCGCUAUAAGUCGCGGAGACGCGGCCCAAGGCGACAGACAGUGCAACAGAAAGAUACCGCCUAAGCUCGCAAGAGCCGGCAAGGGUGAAAUGGUGGGGUAAGAGCCCACCGCGGACCUGGUGACAGGGACGGCACGGCAAACCUCAUCCGGGGCAAGGUCAAAUAGGGGGGCGAUAGCGUGGCUCGCGCUGCCCCCGGGUAGGCUGCUAGAAGCUGCCGGUAACGGCAGUCCGAGAGGAAUGAUUGCCGGGUGGUCGCAAGACCGCCUUACAGAACCCGGCUUAUCGGCGGGCUUCCCAA
rnacentral:RNase_P_RNA from 1 species